GACGAACGCUGGCGGCGUGCUUAACACAUGCAAGUCGAACGAAGAGCGAUGGAAGCUUGCUUCUAUCAAUCUUAGUGGCGAACGGGUGAGUAACGCGUAAUCAACCUGCCCUUCAGAGGGGGACAACAGUUGGAAACGACUGCUAAUACCGCAUACGAUCUAACCUCGGCAUCGAGGAUAGAUGAAAGGUGGCCUCUACAUGUAAGCUAUCACUGAAGGAGGGGAUUGCGUCUGAUUAGCUAGUUGGAGGGGUAACGGCCCACCAAGGCGAUGAUCAGUAGCCGGUCUGAGAGGAUGAACGGCCACAUUGGGACUGAGACACGGCCCAGACUCCUACGGGAGGCAGCAGUGGGGAAUCUUCCGCAAUGGACGAAAGUCUGACGGAGCAACGCCGCGUGAGUGAUGACGGCCUUCGGGUUGUAAAGCUCUGUUAAUCGGGACGAAAGGCCUUCUUGCG
rnacentral:rRNA from 1 species